UACAGAGGUCUCAAGCGUUGUUCGGAUUCAUUGGGCGUAAAGGGUGCGUAGGCGGCGCGGUGAGUCGGGUGUGAAAUCUUGGAGCUUAACUCCGAAACUGCAUUCGAUACUGCCGUGCUUGAGGACUGGAGAGGAGACUGGAAUUUACGGUGUAGCGGUGAAAUGCGUAGAUAUCGUAAGGAAGACCAGUGGCGAAGGCGGGUCUCUGGACAGUUCCUGACGCUGAGGCACGAAGGCCAGGGGAGCAAACGGG
rnacentral:rRNA from 1 species